CCUUCGGGUGAGAGUAGAGUGGCGCACGGGUGAGUAACGCGUGGGAACCUGCCAAGCAGUGGGGAAUAACCUCGGGAAACUGAGGCUAAUACCGCAUACGCCCUUUUGGGGAAAGAUUUAUCGCUGUUUGAUGGUCCCGCGUCCGAUUAGCUAGUUGGUAAGGUAAUGGCUUACCAAGGCGACGAUCGGUAGCUGGUCUGAGAGGAUGAUCAGCCACACUGGAACUGAGACACGGUCCAGACUCC
rnacentral:rRNA from 1 species